rnacentral:lncRNA from 1 species
CAUUUCAUUCCCAAAUCUAAACCCUAAAUAUUUUUCCACAUCUCCCCCCCCCCCCCCCCCCCCCCCCCCCCCCCCCCCCCCCGCCCCCACCCUCUCUCUCUCUCUCUCACCCUUUCCACCACCCACUCACCCAACCAUCUUCCUUUCCGGUACGACGAAGUAUUGUCGAUCAUUGCUUACAACGUGACAAAGGAAGCAACAUAUCGGGCGCGAUGAAGUUGCUUGCAACGAAAGCUCGUCUCUACUUGCAGAAGUACCGACGAAGACUGUAAACUAUCAGAUCUUCUCAUCAAAGAUUUCUUCACAACUCUAUCCUGCUUUACUUUGUUGAAAAAUGAUCGGCUCCUAAACUUCAAAGUUGACUUCUAACUACCCAUUGGGAAUAGAAUAUGAAGCUUCGAUUCCAAUUGGAGCUGUUGCAGUGGAGCAUGAUUAUGAUAUGUCGCCUCCAAUGGUGGUUGUGAUUGUGGUGUUUAGAUUUGUGGGUGAUAUAAAUCUACAGUUGUGUUGAUCUACAUUUGAGAACGCGGUGGUGAUGGAUUGUGCAUUGGAGGUGAAUCUAGUAUUUUUGAUCGUCGAUUUAAGUUAAAUGUAUUAGAAAUAGUGUUGGAUUGUGAUAUUGGUCUAAGGUGCGUGCACAGUUGUUUGUGAUGAUCUCAUGUGACCAAAUAUGUAUUUAUUAUGACUGUUUGUGACUAAUUUUUUGUUGAUUGUAACCGGUUGUGACUUAGUCAAAGUUAAGACUAUCCUGGUCAUAGACAAUCACACUAAAUACAAAUUUAAUCACAGUUUGUCACAUUAAAGAUAAAUUUGGUCAUGGUUAAUCACAUAUAACAUAAAUCGGUGAAUUGGUCAAAUACAGUUACAGCGAAAACAAGUUUGAUCACAAAUAGUCACAUAAAACACGGGCAUAGUCACGAACAAUAAAUCUGAUCACAAAUAAUGUUUUGGAUAUUUUUC